CCAAUGUUAAUCUCGUACUUGGGGCACACUAACCGAGCGCCUGGUCGCUCCCAUCGCCCCGGGAAGGUCUGAGGAAAGGUCUCUGUGUCUCUAAAUACAUUCUAGCCGGAUGCUUCCCCAACAGGGAAGGUGGGGGAACCAGAAAAUACAGUUAGGUGCUUAGCUCGGGAGGCCUGGUCCUUGUGGUCAGGAAGAGGCGAAGGCACCGCCACUGUUGGAAACUCCCAUGACCAGCCAUUUUAGCACGAUCUACGAGAUGACUUUGGUCACAACUCAAUUCAGACUAAUCUUUCAUUGG
rnacentral:RNase_P_RNA from 2 species